AACGAACGUUGGCGGCGUGGAUUAGGCAUGCAAGUCGAACGAAUCCCACUCGGGUAACUGGGUGGGGGAAGUGGCGAAAGGGGCAGUAAGGCGUGGACAACCUGCCCGGGGGACGGGGAUAGCCAUUCUAACGAGUGGGUAAUACCCGGCGACCUGGUCUCGGGGCAUCUCGAAGCCAGCAAAGGAGAUUCGCCCCCGGAGGGGUUCACGUAGUAUUACCUUGUUGGCGGGGUAACGGCCCACCAAGGGGAAGAUGCUUAGCAGGUGNGAGAGCACGACCUGCGCCACUGGCACUGUGACACUGGCCAGACUCCUACGGGAGGCUGCAGUCGAGGAUCUUCGGCAAUGGGCGCAAGCCUGACCGAGCGACGCCGCGUGUGCGAUGAAGGCCUUCGGUUGGUAAGUACAC
rnacentral:rRNA from 1 species